GAAGCACGCCAGACCGUCGCUGGUGCAAGUCUCGAAAGAGCGCACUGGAGGAACGUCCGGACUGCACAGGACAGCGCAGGAGCUAACGACUCUCCACCGCGAGGUGAGGAUCAGAGCAACAGAGACGAGUCGGGCCGGGGCAACCCGGUCCGGGUGAAACGGGCAAUCUCUGCGCGCAGCAACACCAAGUAGGCCGUCCACGGGCCGUGCGGUUCGCCGCAAGGCCCGACUCCGUGGUCCGCGGGGCGAGUCGGCGGGUAGGUGGCAUCGAGCCGUCUGGCGACAGGCGGCCCAGAGUAAUGGCGGUCACGCCCCGGGCAACCGGGGUGCACAGAAUCCGGCUUAUCGGCGGGCUUCACAC
rnacentral:RNase_P_RNA from 1 species